UUUCGGUACUCCAUAUCUUGCGUAUAGGUCAGUAUGUGCUUUAAUCAAGUGUCCAUAAGUUAAUAAUGAGCAUAUCAUAUGCAAGAUCAACUUGCAGGUCAUUUGAUUUAAAAACAUAAGAUACGGAAUCUCAAAGUGAAACAAAGUCAUAGGCCUCGACUUUGAGAAUCAACGUAUGAAAUAUAUGGAAAAACUAGAGUGUGAAGAUUGAUUCAGAGAUCUCCACAAAGCAUGCAAAGUAUAGUUGGAAAUAUUAUUCGAUCUAAAGUGUAAAAUAUUUUCAUUUCCAAGUCAAAAAACAUUUUCACUUGGAAAUCUUAACAUAAUCACCAGUAAGAAGGUAAACAUACAUGAUCCUUUAUUACAUAAUCAUCACAUCUAUUUCCAAACUAAAUCUUGGAUAUGACAAACACAAAACAUAAAUCAAUUAUCCAAAACAAAUUUACAAAUCACAUGUUGACAAAAUCACAAUUUCAAUAGAGUAUCAAAACGAUCAACAGGUUAUGGAAGCGGACUAAUUCAACCUCUCAAAAAUCAUAAAUCACAAGUUUUUAGAUAUUCAUAAAAUCAUGUAUUUACUGUUCACAAUGGCUCAAAUCAUUAUUCACGGACCGUAGUCACUGGAUGGAAAGAGAAAUUGCUACAUUAAAACUGUUGAUGUUCUGACCUUGUCACUUUUUUAGGGCUUAAAUUGCAAUUGGCGAUCAGCUGGAGAGGACUCGAAGCAAGUGCCAAACACGAGAGGCAGGAGCGGGCUCAAUCAUUUCCAAUUUUUCUUUCCCAGAUCGUCUACUAUUUUGUUGAUUGCAAUUAUCCCUUUCCAAUCAAACGUUUGUCGGCAGGAUGGACUCAGCGAACAGUUUUUCGCCACUUUUUACGGGGUUUUCCUUCAGUGUUAGGUAAUGAGAGAUAGGAGAUGGGAGGUUCCUCUCGUAAAAGUUUCUUCCCAAUCGUUGAAAGGCGAGCAUGAGGAAGUGAAGAAUGGGUUUUCAAUCAUCAAGUAAGUGGAUUUUGCUUCAGCUUUGGUAAUGGGACUAUGGGAGGUUUUGGGUUCGUCAAUUUUUGGUAUAUGAAAAUUUCAAGUAUUUAUUGGGUGGUGAUUGAAGGUAAGAUUUUUAUCAUUUUUUGAACAACUUUUUUCACUUUUUGUACAACUUCUUUAUGUUGUCAGAUCAAUGACAUGUAGGGUAUUUAAAUUCUAUAGAGGUGCAAAAAUGUCAAAAAUUGAAAAUCUUACAAAGACUUUAAAUGAAGUGACAUUUUUGUAAUUGUAAAGCUAGAAAUUGACAUCUA
rnacentral:lncRNA from 1 species